CAGAAGCAGUGUGACCCAGCUGGACCCCUGCGGAGAGCAGAUGGUGGACUGCGUUUCUCAUCCUUCUGACUGCUCUGAUUAAACCUGCAGGAAUCCAUAUGGACUCCUACUUACAGACAGAGGGAAGAACUAAGAAAAAGUGUUCGGUUGUUGAACAUCAUCUGCUGCCGGGGAUGGUGGAAUUCUUCGGACCGAGCCUGAGUGAAGGGUGACUUGUUUUCCCUCUCGUCGCCAUGGCAUCGCCUCCCCGAUCCGCCUGAUGUUCUUCACUUCAGUAAAUAUUGCCUCCUGCUGGGGAAAGAGAGUUCACCGGGCCGAGCUUGAGCGAAAGGUGACUUGUUUUGCCUCGCCUCACCAUGGCAUCGACUUUGUGAUCUGCUUGGAGCUGAGAAGAUGCAAGGAGGACGGCUCGGCUGCACUACGUACCCGGGUGUGAGUGAGAAGCUGAGUUGCACAGCGAGUGGGAAUCAAAGGCCUCUGGUGCAUCUCAGAGCUCAUCUUGUGCAGCGCUCUGACGCCCAGACGUGGACAUCCAGCCUUCAAAGCAUACUCAUCAUAAAGAUGCUGAGGCUUCUUCACGCCACUGAUGUCUCUUUCAAACUACACAAGGUUCUCAGUUCACUGAUGUUUCGGACAAACCAGUGAUUUUUUUUUUUUUUAAGAGGAAUUGGACUGAACGAGUGUAACGGAAUUCCAAGGUAAAGUUCAGAAUGAUCUUACGAUCACUGCAUUUCCCCUCCAACUUGAUACGGAGACAAAAAAGGAAAUCG